CGAGUGGUCGCUAAUGGCGGACGGUGGAGGUGGUGUUCCUGGCGCAUUUGUGAUUUCACUCUAAAUAGGAAGGAAUCGGCGCUGGAUUGUUACACAGCUGUUGCACCAGUGAAGGAUGUCUGUGUGCCGCCUUGCAUUCAGUUUCUCAGCCAUGGGGGCCUGCUUGCAACACCAGUGGAAAAGCAGUCUUGCAUUGUGCUAUUUGUUCUGGAAGGACACAAGCAUUGAGGAGCCAUUUGACCUGCCACUACACUGAUAUUUUAUUUGGCAAAGCAGGAGGCAUGUGCAAGCAACUAGUCAUUCCGAUUCUCAACCAAUCCUUCUUCUAGUCAGGCCAUUUCUAGUGUCUUAUCUUGCAAGUUCUUUUUUUCAGUAAAGCACAAUAAACAUGCAGUUUCGUUCAGAUUCAGGUGGCUUGUUGCUUUUUGGGCACGAAUUUGUAUGUAUGCUUUGUACACGUCAUGUACAGAACUCAAAUGCAACAUGGCAACACUGACACGAAAAUGACGCGGUGUAAAAGACAGUUACCCAAGGAGGAAACGUGCACACACAGCAUGUUGAGCGUGGUGUAUGUCCGCUUAUGUGCAUUGAUUUCUGCCCCAUUUCAAGCUAUAUCUGAUGCGAGUUAGCCAUGUUGUUAUGUACAACUUGGUAUAACUUAUUUCAAUGAAACAAACAAUUUUCUCAUUGUCUGGACAUAUGCACCCGCAUCAUCAUUUACAAAACAAAUUUUCAGCUGUUGAUACGAAGCAAGAUAAAGCUGAACAAGUUCGUACGGA